rnacentral:rRNA from 1 species
AGAGUUUGAUCCUGGCUCAGAUUGAACGCUGGCGGCAUGGCUAAAACAUGCAAGUCGAACGUGCCCGCAAGGGCAACUGGCGAAAGGGUCAGUAAUACGAUUGAAUGUCCCCCGAGGUGGGGGAUAGCGCUGGGAAACUGGCGGUAAUACCCCAUGAGCUCGAAAGAAGAAAGAUUUAUCGCCUUGGGAGCAGCGAUCGUCCUAUCAGGUAGUUGGGAGGGUAACGGCCCACCAAGCCGAAGACGGGUAUCGGGUGUGAGAGCACGGCCCGCUACAUCGGGACUGAGACACUGCCCGGACUCCUACAGGAGGUUGCCGUACCCAAUCUUCCGCAAUGGGCGCAAGCCUGACCGAGCAGUGCCCCGUGUGGGAUGAACCGCCUUCGGCGUGUAAACCACUGUCUCGGGACGGAACCUAUGAUUGUGCCCUAAGGAAGAGCCGGCUAACCCUGAGCCAGAAACCGCUGUAUCACAGGGGGCUCGAGCGUUAAUCGGAAUCACUGGGCUUAAAGGGUGCGUCAGCGGCCCGCCAAGCAUUCUGUGAGAUCCCCCGGCUCAUCCGGGGAACCGCACAGUGGACUGGCGGACUUGAUGCAAGUACGGGCGGACAUAACACUCCUUGGAGCAGUGAAAUGUAUAGAUAUCGACUGGAAUGCCGAUGGAUGUAGACGGUCCGCUGGGCGUGACCUGACGCUCGUGCACGAUAGCGUGGGGAGCAAACAGGAUUAGAUACCCUGCUAGUCCACACCGUAUACGAUGCACAUUAUACCUGUGCACGAUGUGACGCUAUAUCGGUCUGUCGCUGACUGAUAAAUGUGCCACCUGAGGAGUACAGUCGCACCGCCUAAAGCUCAAAUGACUUGACGGGAGCUCACACAAGCGGUGGAGCAUGCUGCUUAAUU